AAUGGUUCCUGUCCGAGAGAGAACAUGAUCUAGUGAUCUCUCUCGUAGUUACUACAUGCUUGCAGGCGGUGUACAUUAGCGAUGCCCUGCCACGCAAUGCAAUGGUUCCUGUCCGAGAGAGAACAUGAUCUAGUGAUCUCUCUCGUAGUUACUACAUGCUUUCGAAAAUUUCUUAUUUGGGGGCCCGAUUAUAUGGAUGUUAGCGCUCAUUGUUGCAGCGAGCUUAGAAACUCACAGCUUGCAGCUUCUUAACGUUUCCUAAACGUUCUUGUGAUGCAGAUUUGAGAUUGAUUCGAAGUGUCAGGAGUGCAUGGCUUUAUUGUUUUGGGAAACUAUAGUUGCCCAGACGCAGAUGAUCAAUCCCCCGGUUGUGUAGUGCACCCUGGUUUGAAUGUUUUUCUCCUUCAAGCUUGAAUUCAGAUUCAGGCACUGGUAUGAAAUUGUGUUGUUUAAAGUCGUGGAUUUCCUGCGUGGUUUAAAGCAUAUGGUAUCGCGGUGAGGAGUUUAAAAUCCAAGACUGUUCCUUACUAUUAAAAUUCACAUUGGGAAUUGCUGGUUCGUUUCACGUUGCAGAAUCUUAGGCCCUUGAGGGGAUCCCCAGGUUUAAUUUCCUGUGGGAAGAAGAUUUGGUUUGGAAUAUUUAGACUAUUCCAAAUGAGGUGUUCCCAUCUCUGAAACAUAGCGAAAAACUCUCCUUACUGUUGCAAUUCGCAUUGGGAAUUGCUGGUUUGUUUGAUGCUGCAGAGUUUGCGCUUCGUAACCCGAUUCCCAAGGUGUAGCUGCCUAAGAGUGACGAAGAUUUGGAUUGCUAUGCGCGAGGUGUUCAUCUCCGACCACAUAACCAAUGCUCCAACCUUCUUCCAUUGUAUUGCUAGUGGAGCUGGAUUCGAUUACUAAGCGAAGAAGAUGCACUUGAGAAACUGUACCGGAAAGGAUACAGAAAAAUUAAUGCGCAUUGGAUUACGUCCCUAGAAGGGUUAGUUGCACGUUUUGUAUUUACGUCGACGUAAUGUUACUCGCAGCUAGGAGUGGUAUGAGUUCUUCUUAGACGCCGUCAAUGAUCAACUUGGGCAGUCAUACACUGCUUCUCUAUAAUAUUUUGUUUUGUAAGAAUUGGAACGUACCGGGUCUGCUUGGUACACUGCUUUUAUGUAAGAUUUCGUUUGUAAGAAUUGGAACCGGAUCUGCUAGGAGGUUUCGAGACUGGGUGGCGUUUCUGGAUCCAUUUCUUACAGACGAAAUCCUACAGGCUCUACGAAUAAAACGCCGUUUGUCUCUUGUGGUGCUCU
rnacentral:precursor_RNA from 1 species